GAUUCAUACGCUGUCAAAAUUAAAUCAAUAUGGCUACUGGGUGUAAAAGAUAAAUCUUAUUCUAUCUGUUCUUAAUGAGUUUUAGAUAAUUUUAGUUGUAUUUCUUUGUAAUUUUGUGUUGUACAAAGAUUAAUUUAACAUUUUCUCUGGAAGUAUUAAUUUAGAAAGAUAAUAUGCUUCAUUGGUGUUGUGUUUUGAAGUGUGAAAUGCAAAGUAAUUGUGAUAAAGUCAAGAUAAAGUUCACUUUUAAACUGAACUAAAUAAGGUAUCUGAGAGACAACAAUGGUUAAAUGCAAUACAAUGUACAGGUUUUACUAGCGAAAUGAAAAUUUUCCUGUCCUGUCUGCUGUAAUCAUUUUAUAUCUGGUAAGUUACAAUUACAACAGUAACGAUUUUUGAAGAUGUUAACAUUUUAAUCUUAUAGGAAAACCAGCCGACUUAAUCGAUAAUAACAAUCUCCAGAUUGGGUUCCUUCAAUACAUAUGGGCUAUUAACACAAUGAAAUAAGUUCCAGAAAAUCUAAAAUGGAGUGGUAUCAAAGGAGAAUUAAAGGAAAAAAUAUUCAUAUUGAAAUUAUUUAUAAGGCACUGGACUGUCUUAAAUUCUACAAUAAUACUAGAAUCAGCUGAGAGAAGUGGUCUACAAAAAACCAGGAAGGAAACGGAAUAUGUGGCUACGAAAGGCAAAAGAAAGGUUUACAAAGCAAAUGUGACACAUUUUUUUUAAAUAUUUAGGAAUAUCAGUAAAUUGCAUUAAAAAAAUGUAUGAAAAGAUUUUGUUCAAUAAAAAUGUUUAUAUUUA